GCUUGCUUUGGCUGGACAUAUGCUAAAAUUGGAACGACACAGUAAUUAGCGCAGUCCCUGCACAAGUAUGACAAGCGAACAUUAAAAAAAAAAAAGUUGAAA